UGGGGAAUAUUGCGCAAUGGACGAAAGUCUGACGCAGCGACGCCGCGUGUGGGAUGAAGCCUUUCGGGGCGUAAACCACUGUUGCCCGGGACGAACAUCCUCUUUCGAGAGGACUGACGGUACCGGGUGAGGAAGCACCGGCUAACUCUGUGCCAGCAGCCGCGGUAAUACAGAGGGUGCGAGCGUUGUCCGGAAUCACUGGGCGUAAAGGGCGCGUAGGUGGCUUGGUAAGCGUGUGGUGAAAGUCCGGGGCUCAACCCCGGAUCUGCCGUGCGAACUGCCGAGCUCGAGCGAUGUAGAGGCAGGUGGAAUUUCGGGUGUAGCGGUGGAAUGCGUAGAUAUCCGAAAGAACACCAGUGGCGAAGGCGGCCUGCUGGGCAUCAGCUGACACUGAGGCGCGACAGCGUGGGGAGCAAACAGG
rnacentral:rRNA from 1 species